rnacentral:misc_RNA from 1 species
AACGCACCUUGCGCUCCAUGGCAUUCCGUGGAGCAUGCCUGUUUGAGUGCCGCGAAAUCUCCCACCCCUAGCGGUUGCCGCAAGGCGCCGCCGGGCGGCGGGGUUGGUUGGGUGCCGCUGCCUGCGCUACCUAGCACAGGCUCGCCCGAAAUGCAUGAGCGCCUUGAGACACUUUGCAUCCGCCUCUCUGUUUGGGAGGAGGCGGCCAAGCAGUGUUUUUCUCCUGGCAUGGCAUGAUACGUCAUUUGCUAUGUCACCUAAAGGAGGAAUGUUUGGUUGUGUCUGCGUGUGCUUCAAACUUGCCUCUGUGGCACAUCCCAAUUUCACUUCUGGUCUCAAAUCAGGUAGGAUCACCCGCUGAACUUAA